GGUCAGAGCUCUCGGAGAGAAGGCAGACAACGACAGAACCCUCAGAUGGAAUGAGACUCCUGAAGGCGGAAAGGCGGGUUUAAAUAGACUCUGGGAUCCGGCGCUAUAAUGAUCGCAGAUCUCCCCAGGCCAACCCACGCUCGCCACGUGUCCCACUCACCACCGCAGGCGGCUAAAAGCGGCUGACAGCUGACAGAGCCAUUACUGCACCGUACCUGGGCCAACGCUCUGGCGGGAAUUCUAAAAGGUCCCUU
rnacentral:lncRNA from 1 species